GAUGAACGCUGGCGGCGUGCCUAAUACAUGCAAGUCGAGCGAACAGACGCGGAGCUUGCUCCUCUGACGUUAGCGGCGGGCGGGUGAGUCACACGUGGAUAACCUACCUAUAAGACUGAGAUCACUUCGGGAAACCGGAGCUAAUACCGGAUAAUAUAUUGAACCGCAUGGUUCAAUAGUGAAAGACGGUUGUUCUGUCACUUCUAGCUGGUUCCGCGCCGCAUUAGCUAGUUGGUCAGGUAACGGCCUACCAAGGCAACGAUGCGUAGCCGACCUGAGAGGGGGAUAGGCCACACGGGAACGGAGACGCGGUCCAGACUCCUACGGGAGGGAGCAGUAGGGAAUCGUCCGCAAUGGGCGAGAGCCUGACGGAGCAACGCCGCGUGAGUUAUGAAGGUCUUCGGAUCGUAAAACUCUGUUAUUAGGGAAGAACAAAUGUGUAAGUAACUAUGCACGUCUUGACGGUACCUAAUCAGAAAGCCACGGCUAACUACGUG
rnacentral:rRNA from 1 species